GGAAUAUUCGUCAAUGGGGGAAACCCUGAACGAGCAAUGCCGCGUGAACGAUGAAGGCCCUAUGGGUUGUAAAGUUCUGUUGUAUGGGAAGAACGACUAGGUUAGGAAAUGAACUUAGUGUGACGGUACCAUACCAGAAAGCUCCGGCUAACUACGUGCCAGCAGCCGCGGUAAUACGUAGGGAGCGAGCGUUAUCCGGAUUUAUUGGGCGUAAAGGGUGCGUAGGCGGUUUGUUAAGUAUGAGAUUUAAGCCCGAAGCUUAACUUCGGUUCGUUUCAUAAACUGGCAGACUUGAGUAUGGCAGAGGUAAGCGGAAUUUCUAGUGUAGGGGUUAAAUGCGUAGAUAUUAGAAGGAACACCAGUGGCGAAGGCGGCUUACUGGGCCACAACUGACGCUGAGGCAAGAAAGCGUGGGGAGCAAAUA
rnacentral:rRNA from 1 species